GCUUAAUACAUGCAAGUCGAACGGACUUCUUAUUUCCCGAGAUUGAGAUUACAUCAAGGUCAAAGGUCGUUUGAAGUUAGUGGCGAACGAGGUAGUAAUAUAUAGGAACUUCCCCCUAAGUCGCGAAUAACACUGCGAAAGCAGUACUAAUACGCGAUAGUCUCUCCGGAGUAAAGUUUUUCGCUUAGGGAAAGGCCUGUAACGUAUCAGCUAGUUGGCAGUGUAAUAGACUACCAAGACUAUGACGCGUAGGGGAGGUGAGAGCCUGACCCCCACCGAUGGGACUGAGACACGGCCCAUACACCUACGGGUGGCUGCAGUCGAGAAUCUUCCGCAAUGGACGAAAGUCUGACGGAGCGACGCCGCGUGAUUGAUGAAGCUUUUCGGAGUGUAAAGAUCUUUUAUGAGGGAAGAAGUUUAUUGACGGUACCUCAUGAAUAAGGGGCUCCUAAUCUCGUGCCAGCAGGAGCGGUAAUACGAGAGCCCCGAGCGUUAUCCGGAAUUAUUGGGCGUAAAGGGUGCGUAGGUGGUCGUGUUAGUCGUUUGUCAAAUACCCGGGCUUAACCUGGGAACCGCGAACGAACGGCACAACUUGAGAGUGUGAGGGGUGAAUGGAACUCAUGGUGUAGGGUGAAAUCCGUUGAUAUCAUGGGGAACACCAAAAGCGAAGGCAAUUCACUGGCACAUAUCUGACACUCAAGCACGAAAGCGUGGGUAGCGAAUGGGAUUAGAUACCCCAGUAGUCCACGCCCUAAACGAUGAUCUCUAGUCUUUCGGAGUAUCGACCCUCUGAGAGACGCAGCUAACGCGUUAAGAGAUCCGCCUGGGAAAUACGGCCGCAAGGCUAAAACUCAAAGGAAUAGACGGGGACUUGCACAAGCAGUGGAUUAUGUGGUUUAAUUCGACGAUAAACGAAGAACCUUACCAAGGUUAGAAAUCAACGUGAAAGCCCCGAGAAACCGGGGCCCUCGCAAGACUAGUUGACAGGUGUUGCAUGGCCGUCGUCAGUUCGUGGUUUGAAUUGUUCCCUUAAGUGGGGUAACGAACGCAACCCUCGUCGUGUGUUACAAGUGUCACACGAGACUGC
rnacentral:rRNA from 1 species